rnacentral:rRNA from 1 species
GAUGAACGCUGGCGGCGUGCCUAAUACAUGCAAGUCGAACGCACAGCGAAAGGUGCUUGCACCUUUCAAGUGAGUGGCGAACGGGUGAGUAACACGUGGACAACCUGCCUCAAGGCUGGGGAUAACAUUUGGAAACAGAUGCUAAUACCGAAUAAAACUUAGUGUCGCAUGACACAGAGUUAAAAGGCGCUUCGGCGUCACCUAGAGAUGGAUCCGCGGUGCAUUAGUUAGUUGGUGGGGUAAAGGCCUACCAAGACAAUGAUGCAUAGCCGAGUUGAGAGACUGAUCGGCCACAUUGGGACUGAGACACGGCCCAAACUCCUACGGGAGGCUGCAGUAGGGAAUCUUCCACAAUGGGCGAAAGCCUGAUGGAGCAACGCCGCGUGUGUGAUGAAGGCUUUCGGGUCGCAAAGCACUGUUGUAUGGGAAGAACAGCUAGAAUAGGAAAUGAUUUUAGUUUGACGGUACCAUACCAGAAAGGGACGGCUAAAUACGUGCCAGCAGCCGCGGUAAUACGUAUGUCCCGAGCGUUAUCCGGAUUUAUUGGGCGUAAAGCGAGCGCAGACGGUUUAUUAAGUCUGAUGUGAAAGCCCGGAGCUCAACUCCGGAAUGGCAUUGGAAACUGGUUAACUUGAGUGCAGUAGAGGUAAGUGGAACUCCAUGUGUAGCGGUGGAAUGCGUAGAUAUAUGGAAGAACACCAGUGGCGAAGGCGGCUUACUGGACUGCAACUGACGUUGAGGCUCGAAAGUGUGGGUAGCAAACAGGAUUAGAUACCCUGGUAGUCCACACCGUAAACGAUGAACACUAGGUGUUAGGAGGUUUCCGCCUCUUAGUGCCGAAGCUAACGCAUUAAGUGUUCCGCCUGGGGAGUACGACCGCAAGGUUGAAACUCAAAGGAAUUGACGGGGACCCGCACAAGCGGUGGAGCAUGUGGUUUAAUUCGAAGCAACGCGAAGAACCUUACCAGGUCUUGACAUCCUUUGAAGCUUUUAGAGAUAGAAGUGUUCUCUUCGGAGACAAAGUGACAGGUGGUGCAUGGUCGUCGUCAGCUCGUGUCGUGAGAUGUUGGGUUAAGUCCCGCAACGAGCGCAACCCUUAUUGUUAGUUGCCAGCAUUCAGAUGGGCACUCUAGCGAGACUGCCGGUGACAAACCGGAGGAAGGCGGGGACGACGUCAGAUCAUCAUGCCCCUUAUGACCUGGGCUACACACGUGCUACAAUGGCGUAUACAACGAGUUGCCAACCCGCGAGGGUGAGCUAAUCUCUUAAAGUACGUCUCAGUUCGGAUUGUAGUCUGCAACUCGACUACAUGAAGUCGGAAUCGCUAGUAAUCGCGGAUCAGCACGCCGCGGUGAAUACGUUCCCGGGUCUUGUACACACCGCCCGUCACACCAUGGGAGUCUGUAAUGCCCAAAGCCGGUGGCCUAACCUUUUAGGAAGGAGCCGUCUAAGGCAGGACAGAUGACUGGGGUG